UACGUAGGUUGCGAGCGUUGUCUGGAUUUACUGGGCGUAAAGCGCGCGCAGGCGGUCUUGAAAGUCGAAUGUGAAAGCUCCCGGCCCAACUGGGAGAGGCCGUUCGAAACUUCGAGACUUGAAGGCGGGAGAGGCAGAUGGAAUUUCCGGUGUAGCGGUAAAAUGCGUAGAUACCGGAAGGAACACCAGUGGCGAAAGCGAUCUGCUGGCCCGCCCUUGACACUCAGGCGCGAAAGCUAGGGGAGCGACCGGG
rnacentral:rRNA from 1 species